rnacentral:pre_miRNA from 1 species
AUUCUACUCCCUCCGUCCGAAAAUACUUGUCAUCAAAAUGGAUAAAAAUAGAUGUAUCUAAAACUAAAAUACGUCUAGAUACAUUUCCUUUUAUCCAUUUUGAUGACAAGUAUUUCCGGACGGAGGGAGUAUUUU